AUUGAACGCUGGCGGCAGGCUUAACACAUGCAAGUCGAACGUGAAAGCUCUUCGGAGUGAGUAGAGUGGCGGACGGGUGAGUAACGCGUAGGAAUCUACCUGGUAGUGGGGGACAACCUGGUGAAAACCAGGCUAAUACCGCAUACGCCCCAUGGGGGAAAGUGUGGGAUCUUCGGACCACACGCUAUCAGAUGAGCCUGCGUAAGAUUAGCUAGUUGGUGGGGUAAAGGCCUACCAAGGCGACGAUCUUUAGCUGGUCUGAGAGGAUGAUCAGCCACACUGGGACUGAGACACGGCCCAG
rnacentral:rRNA from 1 species